UAUUGAAUUUGGUACUCUAGGUUUGGUUUAGCUUGCGAAACUUGUUGGAUUUGGUUCAUUUGGUCCGUGGGUAUGUUGUAUAUACAUAUUUUGGAACUUGAUUUUGGGCAUUGGAAGGCUUGGAGGAGGAUUAGGGUCAAUGCUUUGGUGAUUUUGGAUUUGUGUGGCUUUGGUGAUUUGCUUUGGUAAAUACGUAGAAGUCGGCCAAUGUCGAGAGGCACCUCACUAGAUGUCUGAACUUCUGAGGUGCAGUG